GGAGCACUUACUGUUAAGAAUAUAUAAUGUGGACUGAUACCUGUACAGAUUCAUUUAAGAAUUCAAUCAAUAAUAUUCUCUUUUUUCUCUAAAUCUCUAUUAUAUUCUCAUCUUACUCUUUUCUCCUGUCAUCUAGUCUCAUUCUUGUUUGUUCUAGCUAAUACUUUACAAAUUGGUAUCAAAGUUGAGUUACGCAUGGGAAUAGCUUCAAUUUUGGAUCUGUAGCAUUGAAAAUGAAGCUGUGGCAUUGAAAAUGACUAGAUCUAGGGUAAUUGCUCAAGAUUCUGGAUUCUCUGAAUUGGAAGAAGUAAUUAGGGCUGUACAGAAUGAGUUGAGGAAGGAUAAAGAGGAAUUGAGGGAGGAGAUGAAGCAGAAUGCUUUACAGCAAGCAAUUGAGACUUGCAAUAUGAUCAGGGAAGAAUUGCGAUCCAUUUUUGGUGAUUCCAUGCCUAAGGUCGGUCCAGGAAGGAAUGAUGAGUUUGAAACUUCUGCAGCAACUCUUUGGGGCAAAGGAAUUCUUCCUAAUCCAGGGGGAAGAGUCAAUCAACAGCAAGGAGGAGGUAGCAACAGUAAUGGAUCUGCAAUUAAUUUUGAAGGUAUGUCCCAAAUGUUGUCAAAAAUUGAAUUGAUUACUUUUGAAGGGAAAGAACCUAGGGUUUGGGUAAGGAAAUGUGUUAAGUACUUUGAGGUGUAUGGGGUUCCUAAAUAGCAAUGGGUUGGCAUUGCUAGUUUGUUUCUAAUGGAUAGGGCUGAUGCUUGUUAUCACAAUUGGAUAUUGGGGGAAGGUUCUCACUCUUGGAAGGAUUUUGAGAAAGAUCUUUGUAGGAGGUUUGGAGAGGAUGGGUUAGAAGAUGUAGUGGAAGAAAUCGUGAAGAUGAGGCAAGAAGGAACUGCGGAAGAGUAUCAAGAUAAAUUUGAGGAUCUAAGAAUUAGGUUAGAGAGGGUAAUGCCUAAUUUGGGGGAAGCUUAUUUUCUGUCAGCCUUUGUUGGUGGGUUAAGAGAUGAUAUAAGACCUAUGGUCAGGAUGAUGAAACCAACUACUCUUUUCCAUGCUUUUGAAAUUGCAAAAUACCAAGAACAACUCUUGAAUUGCAGCAAGAAAGUUAAUUCUGUUACAAGACCUCACCAGAAUAAUUUCAGACCUUCUUAUUCUUCUACUUUUGUCCCAAAAAACACUUCUUCUCAGUCACCUUAUUUCUUGGCCCCCAAAACCUCAAAUUGGGAGCAAUCUUCCAUUGCUAAACCAAUUAAUUCGGUUAAAAAACCUUCCAUUUCUAUGGGUCAGUCUUCUGUUAAUCAGCCCAUUAAUAAAGUCUCUUCCAAUAUGCUUGUUACCCACAAUACUAUUAGAUCACCCAGAUCCUGUUUCAGGUGUGGAGAGAAAUUCUUUCCUGG
rnacentral:misc_RNA from 1 species